ACACGGGGAUCCGCGUAGCUUGACCCUGUAUCCCGUAGUCGUAAAGGGUACCCGAGAGUUUGAUCGGGGACCGUGAAGUCUUACCCGGGAACCCCUAUAGUUGGGGGACACCCUAUCGAAAGGGAUGCUAAUACCGCAUACGUCCUACGGGAGAAAGCAGGGGAUCUUCGGACCUUGCGCUAAUAGAUGAGCCUAAGUCGGAUUAGCUAGUUGGUGGGGUAAAGGCCUACCAAGGCGACGAUCUGUAGCGGGUCUGAGAGGAUGAUCCGCCACACUGGGACUGAGACACGGCCCAGACUCCUACGGGAGGCAGCAGUGGGGAAUAUUGGACAAUGGGGGGAACCCUGAUCCAGCCAUGCCGCGUGUGUGAAGAAGGCCUUAUGGUUGUAAAGCACUUUAAGCGAGGAGGAGGCUACUUUAGUUAAUACCUAGAGAUAGUGGACGUUACUCGCAGAAUAAGCACCGGCUAACUCUGUGCCAGCAGCCGCGGUAAUACAGAGGGUGCGAGCGUUAAUCGGAUUUACUGGGCGUAAAGCGUGCGUAGGCGGCUUAUUAAGUCGGAUGUGAAAUCCCCGAGCUUAACUUGGGAAUUUGCAUUCGAUACUGGUGAGCUAGAG
rnacentral:rRNA from 1 species